GGUGCGGAUCUUCUCUGGCAGGAAGCCUCUGCUCUACAGCUACCAGGGUUCGUUGCCAAACCUGCCUGUGCCUGCCAUCAAGGACACGGUCAAGAGGCACUUGGAAUCUGUGCGUCCACUGAUGGAUGACUCAGAGUACGAACGUAUGACCAAGCUGGCGGCAGAGUUUGAGAGCGGCGUCGGCAACCGCCUGCAGUGGUACCUCAAGCUCAAAGCUCUCUGGGCCACCAACUACGUUAGCGACUGGUGGGAGGAGUAUGUCUGUCUACGU